AUUGAACGCUGGCGGCAGGCUUAACACAUGCAAGUCGAGCGAGCGGCGGACGGGUGAGUAAUGUCUGGGAAACUGCCUGUUGGAGGGGGAUAACCACUGGAAACGGUAGCUAAUACCGCCUACCCUCAGCUGAGCCCAGAUGGGAUUAGCUAGUAGGUGGGGGAAUGGCUCACCUAGGCGCCGAUCGCUCGCUGGUCUGCUAGGAUGACCGGACACACUGGAACUGGAACACGGUCCAGACUCCUACGGGAGGCAGCGGUGGGGAAGAUUGCACAAUGGGGGCAAGCCUGAUGCAGCCAUGCCGCGUGUGUGAGAAAGGCCUUCGGGUUGUAAAGCACUUUCAGCGAGGAGGCGUUACUCGCAGAAGAAGCACCGGCUAACUCCGUGCCAGCAGCCGCGGUAAUUC
rnacentral:rRNA from 1 species